UUCUUCCAUAAUAAAGUCUACCAUUCCUAUGUUUUGUUGUGCCAUUUUAUCACGUGAAAAAUAGCAGUUUAUAAUCACGCGGGAUCAAAAGAAAGUGACAGGCAGGGAGAGGGGCAGAAAAUAGACACUUUCCUUAAAAAGUCCAUUGCAUUUCUUAAACGAGCUUAUCGAUUGGGACAAUUCUCGUUAUUUUGAUUUCAAAUUAUGCACCAGGCAUUUAUUUGGCGUCGUUGAAGUGGUGUGGUAGACGACGCGGAACCAAAAUAAAUAAUGAAAGAUGAACGGAGUAAAGAAAACAGUAUGGCGGCGGGGCGCUAGUGACUGCCAAGAUGGGAACCUUUUUACGCAAAUUAUACGCGAUUUUCAGUCUCCUGGAGUGCGUUAAUCACCUGGUCAGCAGCGUAAAUGGCCAGAGUCAUGUGGCAAGCCUGUCAGUAAGCGAGGACACUAAUAAGAAGACUAACAAUGUGUGUGGCCUUGGACAGUGGUUGUGACGAGAGGUUUGCUGAUUUCGAAGUGACAGUCUAACAAGAAUUCUACACCACCAGUAAGAUAAACGCUCGUAAGAACACGAAUAGAUAUCAAUGUGACUUUUGAAAAACAACUGCGAUAAAAGAGAUAAGUGAAAUAUCCGGUUCCUUAUCUGUGAUCUAAGCAGCUGUGGUGGGAGUCAGCGCGGUUUUCAAGAACGUUUUAAUGACUAGUGGUAGCUUGUUAAAGGUUCUGAAUCGAUAAGGAGGCAGACACGCAUGAAAACCUGACUGACGAUUUCUCCCUAGCAUUAGAAAAGUAUUAACUGUGAGAGGACAACACUCAACAGCUGUAGUGGAAGUUACUGGGGGUUUUCAAAUGUUUUCUGCUUGACUAGUAAUUAAAACACUCAUGAGAUCAAGAA